rnacentral:rRNA from 1 species
GAUGAACGCUGGCGGCGUGCCUAAUACAUGCAAGUCGAGCGAACGGACGAGAAGCUUGCUUUUCUGAUGUUAGCGGCGGACGGGUGAGUAACACGUGGAUAACCUACCUAUAAGACUGGGAUAACUUCGGGAAACCGGAGCUAACACCGGAUAAUAUUUUGAACCGCAUGGUUCAAAAGUGAAAGACGGUCUUGCUGUCGCUUAUAGAUGGAUCCGCGCUGCAUUAGCUAGUUGGUAAGGUAACGGCUUACCAAGGCAACGAUGCAUAGCCGACCUGAGAGGGUGAUCGGCCACACUGGAACUGAGACACGGUCCAGACUCCUACGGGAGGCAGCAGUAGGGAAUCUUCCGCAAUGGGCGAAAGCCUGACGGAGCAACGCCGCGUGAGUGAUGAAGGUCUUCGGAUCGUAAAACUCUGUUAUUAGGGAAGAACAUAUGUGUAAGUAACUGUGCACAUCUUGACGGUACCUAAUCAGAAAGCCACGGCUAACUACGUG